GGGCAUAUAGUUCAGUGGUGUGGCGCCUGCCUGGCAAGCCCGAGGUUCUGAGUUCAAUUCUCAGUACCCA
rnacentral:tRNA from 1 species